UAUUUCAAACAAAUAUUUCAAAUUGUGAAAGUUGUGAAAAAAAUUAACUAUAUAAUUCAAAUUUCGUUUAUCUACUAGAAAAAAUAUUAAAUAAUGCAGUAAGGUGUAACCGACUGCGCAAUACUCUAUUCACAUUGUAAUUUUUUCAGGCCGUGAAAUCCAAACAAAAUGAAGCCUUAAACAGCAGAGCGCGGCUCGCACACAAAUCAAAACUACCAAAUAGCGAGGGCUGCGGCAGAAAAAUGCAUAGCUAAAGCUUAUGCGGAAGCUCUAGUCGACAAUGCUUGACCAGCAGAUACCCUAUAAACUACAGGCUACACUUGAAGUGCGUAACAACGUAACCAGCUAUAUUUACGGCCUCUAUACAAAGCAGCUAAACUCAAAAAUGACAAGGAGCUAAGCUUUAAGCUGCGAAGGAUGAACUGAUUCCAUGAGUCCAUCCUUAAGCCUUUAAUGACAUAUGGCAUAGAGCCUGCCUUUACAUUCACUGUGCAUAUUCUAUAAAGAUUCGAGAAACAAGUUCUCCCUAACGCAAGCAAAACUGAGUCCAUAGGCACCUUGGAGCUAACGCUUCCGCAGCCAGGUCUAGAGUCUCAGCUAUGAUAGCCUAAAAGUCCGCCGACUCUAGAGGAGUCAGUGAAGAGGACCUGCCCCUUAGGCCUCUCCUGGAGGCGUGAAGCACUAUUAACAGUCACCCAGCCGUCUAUUUGACACUAAGUUCUGGCAACACGACGAAAUAAACGCAAAAGCACGAAAAACAAGGGCACGAUUCCGACUAAAAAAA